rnacentral:rRNA from 1 species
GACGAACGCUGGCGGCGUGCUUAACACAUGCAAGUCGAACGGAAAGGCCCUGCUUUUGUGGGGUGCUCGAGUGGCGAACGGGUGAGUAACACGUGAGUAACCUGCCCUUGACUUUGGGAUAACUUCAGGAAACUGGGGCUAAUACCGGAUAGGAGCUCCUGCUGCAUGGUGGGGGUUGGAAAGUUUCGGCGGUUGGGGAUGGACUCGCGGCUUAUCAGCUUGUUGGUGGGGUAGUGGCUUACCAAGGCUUUGACGGGUAGCCGGCCUGAGAGGGUGACCGGCCACAUUGGGACUGAGAUACGGUCCAGAGUCCUACGGGAGGCAGCAGUGGGGAAUAUUGCACAAUGGGCGGAAGCCUGAUGCAGCAACGCCGCGUGCGGGAUGACGGCCUUCGGGUUGUAAACCGCUUUCGCCUGUGACGAAGCGUGAGUGACGGUAAUGGGUAAAGAAGCACCGGCUAACUACGUG